GGAGAUCCAACAGCUCCUGUCCAGUCCAGGCUGGAGUGCGUCUGGAACACGUAGCCUGCAUGGUCAGCUGGGCAGCUGCACACAGUAAUGGAAAGCUGAAAAAACAGAAUAUUGUGCCUCAAGCCAACAUGUGCGUCCAGCAGCACAAGAAAUAAAAU